AUGAUGAAGCCAAAAUUCAUGGCAGGGCUUGGAUUUCGUGACAUCGAGCUAUUUAAUUUGGCGUUGCUUGCGCGUCAAGCUUGGAGACUUUUGCAGGAACCAACUACACUCAGUGCUAGAGUUCUCAAGGCCAGAUAUUACCCUAACUGCAACCUCCUGGAUGCUACCUUAGGAUCAUCACCAUCUCAGGUAUGGCGGUCCAUUCUGGAGGGAAGAGACAUAUUAGCGUUGGGCUUAAUCAAGCAUAUCGGUUCUAGAGCUUUGACCAAUGUAUGGGGUGACAACUGGUUGCCCAGGGACUACAAAUUGCAACCAAUCUGCUGCAGAUCUACUGACCCACCGAUAGUAGUGGCUGAUCUCAUUGAUCCCAGUACUAGGACGUGGAACAUACAAGUGCUAGCUGACCACUUUAUUGCCCCUGAUAUUGAGGUCAUCCUAAAUAUUUCGCGAAGCAUGAGGGUGAAGAUGAUUUUUGGUCUUGGCACUAUGACAAGAGAGGGGUCUUCUCCGUUCGAUCUGCUUACCGAAUGUCUUCCGCGAUCAAAUCUCAAAGAGCAGACUGGUCAGAACAUCGCCCUAGUCACUCAAAUCAACAAGCUACUAAACCAUCUUGGUCUACACUCUGGAAAGUGA
rnacentral:rRNA from 1 species